UAGUCCACGCCCUAAACGAUGCUAACUCGAUGUUUGUUUAACUAUGAGCAUCCAAGGGAAACCGUUAAGUUAGCCACCUGGGGAGUACGUUCGCAAGAAUGAAACUCAAAGGAAUUGACGGGGGUCCGCACAAGCGGUGGAACAUGUGGUUUAAUUCGAUGAUACGCGAGGAACCUUACCUAGGCUCUAAUGUGAGCGCAAUUUUGUGAAAGCAGAAGUUCCUUCGGGACGCGAAACAAGGUGCUGCAUGGUUGUCGUCAGCUCGUGCCGUGAGGUGUUGGGUUAAGUCCCGCAACGAGCGCAACCCCUAUUCUUAGUUGCCAGUCUAGCUUCGGUUAGAGGGACUCUAGGGAGACUGCCACCGUAAGGUGUGAGGAAGGUGGGGAUGACGUCAAAUCAUCAUGGCCUUUAUGCCCAGGGCUACACACGUGCUACAAUGGUAGGUACAGAGGGUAGCGAAGCCGCGAGGUGGAGCCAAUCUCAGAAAACCUAUCACAGUUCGGAUUGAAGUCUGGAACUCGA
rnacentral:rRNA from 1 species